GUUAUAGUUUAUUUGGUAAUCAAACUUACAUGGAUAACCGUGGUAAUUCUAGAGCUAAUACAUGCUGUCGCGCCCGACUCACGAAGGGCCGUAUUUAUUAGAUCCCAGCCAAUAAGCUCCGGCUAUUGUGGUGACUCAUAGUAACUUUUUCGGACCGCAUGGGCUUGUCCCGCGGCGGACCAUUCAAGUUUCUGCCCCAUCAUGCUUUCGAUGGUAGUGUAUUGGACUACCAUGGCUUUCACGGGUAACGGAGGAUUAGGGUUCGAUUCCGGAGAGGGAGCCUGAGAAACGGCUACCACUUCCACGGAAGGCAGCAGGCGCGUAAAUUACCCAAUCCUGACUCAGGGAGGUAGUGACAAGAAAUAAUGGGUCGGGGUUUCACCCCGGGACUGCAAUGAGAUGAAUCUAGACCCCUUAUCGAGGACCAAUUGGAGGGCAAGUCUGGUGCCAGCAGCCGCGGUAAUUCCAGCUCCAAUAGCGUAUAUUAAAGUUGUUGCAGUUAAAAAGCUCGUAGUUGGAUUUCUGGUCGGGGGUUAGGGCGCACUGUCGUGAUGCCCGCGUCUUYGGCCAUCCUUCUGUUAACCCUUCAGGGCGUUCGUUCGUCGGUUGGGGGCUCAGAUAUUUUACCUUGAGAAAAUUAGAGUGUUUCAGGCAGGCUUGUGCCCGGAUACAUUAGCAUGGAAUAAUGGAAUAGGACUUUAGCCUCUUCUGUUGGUCUGAGGGGUUGGAGUAAUGAUUAAUAGGGAUAGUUGGGGGCAUUAGUACUUAACUGUCAGAGGUGAAAUUCUCGGAUUUGUUAAAGAUUAACUUAUGCGAAAGCAUUUGCCAAGGAUGUUUU
rnacentral:rRNA from 1 species